GUGGGGAAUUUUGGACAAUGGGCGCAAGCCUGAUCCAGCAAUGCCGCGUGUGUGAAGAAGGCCUUCGGGUUGUAAAGCACUUUUGUCCGGAAAGAAAUCUCCUGGGUUAAUACCUCGGGGGGAUGACGGUACCGGAAGAAUAAGCACCGGCUAACUACGUGCCAGCAGCCGCGGUAAUACGUAGGGUGCGAGCGUUAAUCGGAAUUACUGGGCGUAAAGCGUGCGCAGGCGGCUAUGCAAGACAGAUGUGAAAUCCCCGGGCUCAACCUGGGAACUGCAUUUGUGAAUGCAUGGCUAGAGUGCGUAAGAGGGAGGUGGAAUUCUGCGUGUAGCAGUGAAAUGCGUAGAGAUGCGGAGGAACACCGAUGGCGAAGGCAGCCUCCUGGGAUGACACUGACGCUCAUGCACGAAAGCGUGGGGAGCAAACAGGAUUAGAAACCCUGGUAGUCC
rnacentral:rRNA from 1 species